rnacentral:rRNA from 1 species
UACGUAGGGUGCAAGCGUUGUCCGGAAUUAUUGGGCGUAAAGAGCUCGUAGGCGGUCUGUCGCGUCGGCUGUGAAAACUCGGGGCUCAACUCCGAGCUUGCAGUCGAUACGGGCAGGCUAGAGUUCGGCAGGGGAGACUGGAAUUCCUGGUGUAGCGGUGAAAUGCGCAGAUAUCGGAAGGAACACCUGUGGCGAAAGCGGCUCACUGGACCAUUACUGACGCUGAGGCACGAAAGCUAGGGGAGCAAACAGG